rnacentral:lncRNA from 1 species
UAAAGAUUUACACACCCUGGAGCCAAUCACAGUAGGUUUAUUGUGUUGUCUGUGUGUGAUUGGAUGAUUUUCUGUGUCUUACAGUCACAUAUGUAGGACCAGAAGGAUCCAAAUAUAUUAGUUUAUGGAACAUGUACAUUUAUCAUCAACUAAAAGCUGUCACAGACAUGACGAAAAAAAAUCCCAUUUAAAGUUCUAGAAAUUAUUCAGUAAUGUAUAGAAAUUAACAGAUUUAUUCAUAGAUGAAUCAGUAAUAAAUGGAUUGAUGAUUAAUUUGAAGCAGAAUCAGUGUUUUCUGCUGCACAUUUACACUGUGUCAAAGCAUCAAUGUGACGACCAAACAAACGAGCCAAUCACCAUCCAGUAACAUGUCAUGUGACUGUUCAGAGCUCCUCCCACUGCAGGCGUUGACACCUGAUGUCUUUUCAGGUGAGACUCAGACUGAUCCUGGAAACAGCUCAGCGGUGACGAACACAAACCCUUUUAUGUUGGACGUCCACAGACAUUCCAACUAAGCUCCUCCCACUGGUGCUGGUGGAACCUGUGGGACCAGGUGAGGUUCUGUUCCAUUCCAGGACACAGUUCACCUGAGACACACCAACACUUGGACUCUUCCAUCAGCCUUCCACAGGUCAGUUUUCUCUUCUUUCUCUGGGUUCAGUCUCAUCUUUGUGCUGUUUGAUUGGUUCUCCAUAAACUUUCACCAGUUUAGUGUCGUUUAUUACUGGUUCAAACUGGUUUUGUUGCAGUUCAACCAUUGGAUGAUGUUCCAUCAGCUCCAUUUGUCUUUGCAGAUUCAGGAAAUCCCCUCCGAUGUCUGACUGGGACACUCAUGUGGGCUGAAGUGGUCCAGAACAGGAGUGAGUUUCACUGGACCAUUGGGGACAUUUCCAUCACAGCGUCAUGAACACAGUGAGUCUGUCCCAAACUCAAAUGUUUGUUGUGUAAAUGACGCUGACAGAGCAGAACCUUGUGCAGUAGAACCUGAACAGAACACAUCAAACACAUGUUCAACACACAACAUGGAU